GCGUGCGUGUGUGGAUGGUGUUCAGUACCAAGGACAGGACUGGUGUGUUCACCUUUGUGUGAAUGGUGUUCAGCAUCAAGUACAGGUACGUUUACCU
rnacentral:pre_miRNA from 1 species